rnacentral:misc_RNA from 1 species
AACUUUUAACAACGGAUCACUUGGUUCCCACAUCGAUGAAGAACGCAGCGAAAUGCGAUAGGUAAUGUGAAUUGCAGAAUUCCGUGAAUCAUCGAAUCUUUGAACGCACCUUGCACUCCUUGGUAUUCCGAGGAGUAUGCCUGUUUGAGUGUCAUGAAAAUUCAUCAACUGUUCUGAUGAUUCAAAUCAUCGGAAUGAGGUUGGAUUAUGGAGGUUUUUAAGUUGCUGGUCACUUUUGUAAUCAGCUCCUCUUGAAUAUAUAUAUUUGCUUGCCUACAAGCAACUAUUUAUCAACAUGAUAAACUUACUAUAAUAUGUUGAUGAAAGUUUGCUGCGCAAUAGUAAUGACAUUUGACCUCAAAUCAGGUAGGAUUACCUGCUGAACUUAAGCAUAUCAAUAAGCGGAGGCU